AACGAACGCUGGCGGCGUGUUUAAGACAUGCAAGUCGCGCGGGAUAAGACAUGUAGUAAUACUUGUUUUAUUUAGUGGCGCACGGGUGAGUAACACGUGAAUUACAUGCCCUAUAGUGGGGAAUAGCCCAGGGAAACUUGGAUUAAUACCCCAUGGUAUCGAAAGAUUAAAGGUGGCCGCAAGGCUGUCGCUAUAGGAUUGGUUCGCGCCCUAUCAGCUUGUUGGUGAGUUAACGGCUCACCAAGGCAAUGACGGGUACCUGGUCUGAGAGGACGGUCAGGCAAACUGGAACAGAGACACGGUCCAGCAACCUACGGGUGGCAGCAGUCGAGAAUAAUUCACAAUGGGGGCAACCCUGAGCUAGCCAUGCCGCGUGAGUGAAGAAGGCCUUCGGGUUGUAAAGCUCUUUCGGCCGGGAAGAAAUCGUAUCAGCUAAUACCUGGUGCGGAUGACGGUACCGGCAUAAGAAGCACCGGCUAACUACGUGCCAGCCGCCGCCGUAA
rnacentral:rRNA from 1 species